CCCUGGCUCAGGAUGAACGCUGGCGGCGUGCUUAACACAUGCAAGUCGAACGAUGACCCGGUGCUUGCACCGGUGAUUAGUGGCGAACGGGUGAGUAACACGUGAGUAACCUGCCCUUAACUCUGGGAUAAGCCUGGGAAACUGGGUCUAAUACCGGAUAUGACUCCUCAUCGCAUGGUGGGGGGUGGAAAGCUUUAUUGUGGUUUUGGAUGGACUCGCGGCCUAUCAGCUUGUUGGUGAGGUAAUGGCUCACCAAGGCGACGACGGGUAGCCGGCCUGAGAGGGUGACCGGCCACACUGGGACUGAGACACGGCCCAGACUCCUACGGGAGGCAGCAGUGGGGAAUAUUGCACAAUGGGCGCAAGCCUGAUGCAGCGACGCCGCGUGAGGGAUGACGGCCUUCGGGUUGUAAACCUCUUUCAGUAGGGAAGAAGCGAAAGUGACGGUACCUGCAGAAGAAGCGCCGGC
rnacentral:rRNA from 1 species